rnacentral:rRNA from 1 species
AUGAGACCUUUGUUGUACCUCUGCCUAUCGCUGGUGCCGUGCCUUCUUCUCUUGGAAGAAGCACGUGCAACGCGCCAUGGAGGGAUCUUACUGAGGUCUCAACACAUGGCCCUCCUCCACUGGAAAGCUACACUUGUGAGUCCACCGCUGCAGAUGGGCUCCUGGCAGGAGAACACCAGCCCAUGCAACUGGACGGGCAUCAUGUGCACGGCCAUUCACCAUGGCCGCCGCAUGCCAUGGAUGGUGACCAACAUCUCCCUGCCCGAUGCUGGCAUCCGUGGCCAGCUUGGUGAGCUCAACUUCUCAGCUCUUCCAUUCCUCACAUACAUUGAUCUUCAAAACAACAGUCUCCAUGGUGCACUGCCCGCUAGUAUCUGCUCCCUGUCAGCACUUUCGAUACUUGACCUUACCUACAACCAGCUCACAGGAAAAAAUCCCUAUGAGAUUGGUAACCUGCAAAGUCUCAGCUAUCUUGGUCUCUCAUUUAAUAGACUCACAGGACAUAUCCCUGUGUCUCUGGGCAACCUAACAAUGUUAAAUGUACUUGUCAUUCACCAAACCAUGGUAUCAGGUAGCAUUCCUGAGGAGGUUGGAAGGCUUGUCAACCUACAAAUUCUACAGCUAAGCAACAACACCUUAAGUGGUUUUAUACCAAAAACCUUUGGAAAUCUAACCCAACUAAGUGUUUUGCUCCUGUUUGGUAAUCGACUUUCAGGGCCUAUACCCCAAGAACUAGGCAAGCUAGUCCAUUUGCAAGGUUCAAUACCCCCAGAACUAGGCGACCUCAACAUGCUAAACAAACUUGAUCUCGAUAGAAAUGAAAUAACAGGCCCAAUACCUUCAGAAUUGGGCAUCUUGCUGAAUCUCCAGAGUUUAGACUUGUCCGGCAAUCAAAUUUCUGGCUCUAUUCCUGGCGGCUUAGGAAAUAUAAUCAAGCUAGUAUUCCUCUCCCUCUCUGAAAAUCGGAUAACUGGUUCUAUCCCCCAGGAAAUUGGAAAUCUGAUAAACCUCCAGUAUUUAAUCUUGUCUCAAAAUAAAAUUUCGGGGUCAAUACCAAAAACUUUUGGGAAGCUACAAAGCAUCCAAGGCAUGCUAAUAUUUGAUAACAAAUUAUCAGGUUCUCUUCCUCAAGAAUUUGGAGAACUCAUCAGCGUCGUUGUACUUGAACUGUCUAUCAACUCACUUUCAGGACCUUUACCAGCAAAUAUAUGUUCAGGUGGCAGACUUCGAUAUUUCAAUGUCCAUUCUAAUAUGUUCAAUGGCCCCAGUCCAAGUAGUUUAAAGACUUGUACAAGUUUGGUUCGACUUCUCCUUCAGGGGAACCAACUAAUAGGCGAUAUAUCUCAGCAUUUUGGUGUGUACCCACAACUCAUAAAGAUGCACUUGGCAUCGAAUAGACUCUCGGGCCACAUCUCACCAAAUCUUGGUGCAUGCACCCAACUAACAGUACUACAUCUAUCACAAAAUAUGAUCAAUGGUUCCAUACCUCCAAUCCUUUCUAAAUUGUCCAACCUAGUAGAACUUAAACUUGAUUCUAAUAAUCUUAGCGGUGAGAUUCCACUAGAGAUCUACACUUUGGCAAAUCUAUAUAGCGUCAACUUAUCAUCAAACCAAUUAACUGGAUCCAUACCUACACAGAUAGAAAAGCUAAGCAAUCUAGGAAACCUUGACAUAUCUGGGAACAGUCUAAAUGGAUUAAUACCUGAGGAACUAGGGGCCUGCAUGAACCUACGCUCCUUGAAGAUCAACGGCAACCACUUUAGUGGGAGUUUGCCUGGUGCGAUUGGAAAUUUAGUAGGCCUGCAGACCAUGUUAGAUGUGAGCAACAAUAACCUCAGUGGUGUCUUGCCGCAACAACUUGGAAAGUUGGAGAUACUAGAAUCUCUGAAUUUGUCGCAUAAUCAGUUCAGUGGAAGCAUCCCACCCUCCUUUGCAAGCAUGGUGAGCCUGUCAACACUUGAUGUGUCCUACAACGACUUAGAAGGACAAGUCCCAACAGCACGACUACUUCAAAAUGCUUCAGAAAGUUGGUUUCUUCCCAAUAAAGAUUUGUGUGGUAACCUCUCUGGCCUGCCACCUUGUUAUUCAACUCUAGUAGCUGGUCACCAUAAACGGAAGACACUUGGUUUGCUUUUGCCAAUUGUUCUUGUGGUGGGUUUCAGCAUUGCUGCCACAACUAUUGUCAUAAUAAUGCUCAGUCACAACAGAAAACCACCAGAAACUGUUACUGCCGAAGCAAGGGACCUAUUCUCAGUUUGGAAUUUUGAUGGAAGAUUAGCAUUUGACGAUAUUGUAAGGGCAACAGAAGACUUCGAUGAUAAGUAUAUCAUUGGAACGGGAGGAUAUGGCCAAGUCUACAAGGCACAACUCCAAGACGGGCAGCUAGUUGCUGUAAAGAAGCUUUAUCAUACUGAAGAAGAGUUGGAUGACGAAAGAAGUCCACCUAUAAUCCAUCGAGAUAUCACGAGCAACAACAUCUUACUUGAUACAACCUUCAAGGCUUUUGUCUCAGAUUUCGGCACAGCAAGGAUUCUUAAGCCUGAUUCAUCGAACUGGAGUGCACUUGCAGGAACGUAUGGCUACAUAGCUCCUGCUAUGUACUGCUUUGGAGUGGUUGUGCUAGAGCUAGUGAUGGGGAAGCAUCCAAGGGAUCUAUUAGAUGGUACUUUGUCAAACGGAGAACAAGUCAUACUGGUGAAAGAUAUUCUAGACCAACGACUGGCAACACCAACAACAGAAGAGAAUAGGUUAUCUCUGCUCAUCAAGCUGGCCUUUUCUUGCUUGGAAUCUUCUCCACAAGCAAGGCCAAGCAUGCGGGAGGCAUACCAAAUGCUCAUCAAGCGACCCUCCUCUAGUUCAUGUUCCAUGCCUUUCAGCGCACUUACGUUACAGCAAAUUACAAAGGGCAUACCUGGCAAUAUUGGCGUUUUGGGUAUUACAUGGGAAUCAACACGUUGUGUGGUCAUGGUGCUGCACAAUUCAACACUGAAACCUUUGUUUUUACCACUUCUGGUGGCUAGAAUUGCAGCACGGAUUUUCCACAAUUUAUCGUUCCAUUGCGUCACCAUCAUGGGUCCUUGGGCUACAUAUUUCGUUCCAUGUACCAGCUGA